rnacentral:lncRNA from 1 species
CCGCGCUACCGUAGCGGGGACUCGCUGGCCAGGGCGGCCUGGGGGCGGCUCACGGGGCGGUGCCGGACUCUGAGCUGUGGGCUCUGGGGACGCUGCGCUCCACCCGGAGGAGAGCCACGGCCCGGCACGCAGAGCGAGCAGCUGGGAGCCCGGGCAGGAGGGCGCCGGUGUGACUCGGGUGUGGGUCCUGGCUCCCGCGUUCCAAAUUCUGCAAACUCUCUGUCCUCCCGGCUCGGACAGCAACAUCUGGUCAGUACAGUGGCACCGCCGGGAGUGAGAGUGCUGGAAGCCGAGGGGGGUCUGAGCCUGGGCUAGCGUGUGCGGAAGGAUCAAGAAGGCCAGGAUGCUCCUUCCACCACUGCUACCCAGUAAAGUUAGGAAGAGCAGUGGGAGAAAUGACAGAUAUUCAGGUAGAAGAAGAAGAAGGAGAAGAAGAAGAAGGAGAAGAAAAGGAAGAAGAAGAAGAAGAAGAAGAAGAAGAAGAAGAAGAAGAAGAAGAAGAAGAAGAAGAAGAAGAAGAAGAAGAAAUAGAAAUCUCUCUGUUUGCAGAUGACAUGACUCCAAGAAAUGUACAUUCCAGCAAAUGUAUCCCCCCAAAUUGCCAGAACUGAUGAGUGAAUUCGGCAGAACUGCAGUGUGUAUAGCCAAAAGAGAAC